rnacentral:lncRNA from 1 species
UUUUUUUUUUUUUAUACGUGGUGGAAAUAAAACACCAUGUUAAGGACCACUGCCAUGUGUUUUUUUUCUGUAAGAGUUUGACAUCCAAUACUGCUCUGAUCCCUGAAAGCACAGGUAGGUUGUGUGAGACUCUCAUCCCCAAAACAGAUGAGGUAGAGAAGUCAAAAUGAUGUAAAGCAGUUGACAUUUAUGGAAGGAAAACUCCAGGAAAGCAACUAUGAUGUGUGAACUGACUUCACACACACACACAGUGUAGCAUAAAAACGAAGAGAGACAUAGCAUAUUCUGUAUAAUCGAUGAUCUGCUUACAGCCAUUAAUAUCCAUCAUACAAACAGAGUACUUCUGCAGAACUUCUCAGCGGUACUCCACCAAAAAAUACCAGUACCACCUCAUGAUGUUAUUAUUGUACAUCCUUUUUGUUUGAAUUUUUGUUUGAAUUGAAUUGAAAUUUUGUUUGAAUUGAAGUUUGAAUUACAGCAUUUUUUUCCAAGGUAUGUAUUGUGAUCAUGGAGAAGUUUGGUAAGGUAGAGAAGGGUUUACAUUAUGCAGGAGACCACUGCCUCCCUGUCAUAGAUGAAAACAGUGCUGUUUAUCCAGGACAGAGGGAAUGAGUAUUUACACAGCUAACAGCUAUAGCUGGCUCCUACACUUCCUGAACUACCAAGGCUAAUGUUGGCAAUUAAAGUUUAGACACUAGCCAGUAAAUAAAACUGCUUAGCUUUCCUCCGUUGAGCUGCCCAAGUUGCUGCCAACUUGUUGGAGAAGCGAGCUGAGUUUUGUAAUAAUCAGUGGGUCCAAAACAUAAUGAGUACUUGUUGAGAGAUUAAGAGAAUGCUAGUGCAGGAUUUCAGCACAAAGAUUACAUUGUCUUCCUUGCCUCUUCAUUAUGCAGUUCCGUAAGGCUUUAUGAAAUUAACUAUUCCACACAACACUGCCUGAAAAAGUAAAGCAAAUGAAGUAGGGGUGUGUGCCUUCACUUCCUCUGCUGCAGUGCACACCUCUGCUAGCACUCAGAAGGUGGCAACAAAGCACACCAAUUCUACAGUGGCAUUGUGUUGGAGCAAAUGAGAACAAGCACGUACACUUCAGGAAUGGCUUUGUUAUGGUUUGAUUUUGCUGUACAAAGUACUUGCUGUUUGCAAAGCAUUUCUGUAGGUGCAGUAUUAAGAACUAGCUGUAAGUGUAGGUCAAAACACAUGAAGGACAUGAACUGUGUUGUUAAAGUGCCUAGCAUGGUGCAAGCUGAGAAAACCAGGUACUAAUGCACUUCAGAUUAUUAAAAUCUUCCACAUUUGUAAUAGUUGUUCUAUUUGUAUAUAAAUGCAAAUUAUUUUGACAUUGAUAAUUAAAUUUGGUUUUCUAACACAUUG